AGCCGUGUAGCUAAGUGGUAAGGCAGCGGACUUAAGAUCCGUGGAGUUAGUCUCAUCAUGGGUUCAAAUCCCAUCUCGGCUA
rnacentral:tRNA from 1 species